rnacentral:rRNA from 1 species
AUUGAACGCUGGCGGCAGGCUUAACACAUGCAAGUCGAGCGGGGAAGGGUAGCUUGCUACCUAACCUAGCGGCGGACGGGUGAGUAAUGCUUAGGAAUCUGCCAUUUAGUGGGGGACCACAUUCCGAAAGGAAUGCUAAUACCGCAUACGUCCUACGGGAGAAAGCAGGGGAUCUUCGGACCUUGCGCUAAAUGAUGAGCCUAAGUCGGAUUAGCUAGUUGGUGGGGUAAAGGCCUACCAAGGCGACGAUCUGUAGCGGGUCUGAGAGGAUGAUCCGCCACACUGGGACUGAGACACGGCCCAGACUCCUACGGGAGGCAGCAGUGGGGAAUAUUGGACAAUGGGCGGAAGCCUGAUCCAGCCAUGCCGCGUGUGUGAAGAAGGCCUUUUGGUUGUAAAGUACUUUAAGCGAGGAGGAGGCUACUUAAAUUAAUACUCUAGGAUAGUGGACGUUACUCGCAGAAUAAGCACCGGCUAACUCUGUGCCAGCAGCCGCAGUAAAAC